rnacentral:lncRNA from 13 species
GAGACUUGAACACAGUGGCAGGGCUGGAAAAAGAACUGAGUAAUGCCAAAGAGGAACUUGAACUCACGGCUAAAAAAGAAAGAGAAAGUCAGGACCUGCAUAUACAACUGAUUAUCCUGAAGACAUACCACCUGUGGAACGCCUGACCCAAAAAUAUUACUUCUUUGGGAAAAAGUUGCUUCAGUAGAAUCCCAGGGUCAAGAAAUUUGAGGAAACCAAAGACAACGGUUGCUGCUGAUGCUAGAAAGACGAGUAGAUGAACAGAGUCAGCUCAGUGAGGACUUAGACGCAAAGAGACAGCUCUCUAGCAGUCUGGUGAAGUUCCACGCCCAUCCAGAGAGCCUGCCAACUUUCAAACUAGGAUUUACACCAUCGUCCCUCCUGGUCCUCAGGCCUUCAGUCUCCAGCAGCAGCUAUACCAUCAGCUCUCCUGGGUCUCCAGCUUGCUGCCUGCAGAUCUUGGGGCUUCUUGGCCUCCAUCGUCACAUAAGCCAAUUUCUUCUAAUAAAUCUCUUUCUUUGGCAUCUAUAAAUCUCCUAUUGGUUCUUUUUCUCUGGAGAAGCCUAAUAGAGUGGGGCCAUGGAUCAUCCCAGAGAGAAAGUAGGGGUGAAGCAGGGAGCCUUAAUCCUAGCGGCUGGAUCCUAGGGCCCUCCCAGAGUCUUCUCUGAAGAAGUCCCAAGUUCUACGUAGAAUCUCAAAAACGGCAACAACCCGGAAAUGCCUACUAGAUCCAUAGAGGAAGGGGUGUGGCUGGGUGACUUUCCACACCUGUCUGAGCUCUUUCCCCAGCAAGAAGACCCGAAAUCUAUCACCCUGUGACCCCUACGCCAGCCCCAGGGAAGCCUAGCUUUGCAGCUGUGGCUGAAAUAGGCACCUACGCCCACUCCCCAUCACCCCUGCAGCCCCCACUCCCCAUCACCCCU